UGGCAUGCCGGGAUCUCCAUGACGGGGAUACUCAGCAAGAUCAGCCAUGGGCCGGAGACAGAGAUUUCUCCUGUCUGACUUUGAGGGACCUGGAGGAGAUCCUGGAGAAUCUUGAAGGAUGAGAAACAGAAACAGUGACCUGAUUAAGAUGAUAGUGCCAACAUGUCAUAUUUACUUCCAGAAGGUGCCCAGAUCCAGUGUAUGCCUGUUUUCAGCUACAAAACUGCAUUAAAAAAACUUAAAACACA